UGAAAUGUUAACUCAGACGGAGUCCUUGUAGUUGUGUUCGAUGGCUGAUAUUUCUCCAAAAUUAUUGUUUAUUCAUGCACACGUAGCAAUCACGCACUCAUUCAUAUGCGCCGUACAAUCAGUGGGAUUGAUUGUGUUAAGAAAAUCAUUCAUAAUGUUUUACUGCUCUCUGCAGGGAGGAAAACAACCCCCUAGGGACAAUAGCUGUAAAAUGUGCCCCGUGUCCUUGUGCACUCAUUGGUGGGACAGCACCUUGGUGAGGACCUCUGAUUGGCUAUCGGCUGCUUUUGCCACGAACCAAUCGGUGCUUCUGUAUCCAAGUCAACUUGGAAUGUUGAGCUAUUUAAAUCCCGAGAAGAUGGAUCUAAAUGAUUUACUUUUACAUUGAAUAUCGUUUGAUUGAAAAGUUCAUCGCUGUAUAUGUUUAAGAUAUUGGGUGACGUCCAGCCCAGUGUUUCUGUACCUUCUGAUGUUUGUCCAAAAGGGCUGAAUUGUGGGACAUCCAGCGACAGAUUGACUCUCUGUGAGCCCAGAAGUUCAGAGGCUCCACAGGGACGUGCUCCUCCUGAGCUUUAACACCGCAGUGCGCUACAUGAUCAGGGAGGCAUUCCGACGCUGGAAACCUCUCGGCCUAUCAGACUGUGAGUGAAAACAUGAGCCACGCCCUCCCUCUCUUGAGUGACAGCAUGAUAGGAGGAGCCAGUUUCCUUUCUGUUCCUGAGCUGCUAGAACCGGCCAGUUUUCAGGUGAGGAAUCACCAGGCCUGUCCAGCAUAUAGCAAACAGGAUGCACCUGUGACUGAACCCAGAGGAGAUCAAAGAGCACGGUGGGAGCAUGGCGCUGGGCCUGAUUCUCUCUGCAGGCUGUCAUUAGAAAGCCAAUAAACUUCACCACAGCUAGUCUCUUAUAUUUAGGAUAUUGAUUUUCAUCUCAACAAGAACAACAACAAAAUAGUCCUCUCUGAAAUGCAUGGGAUUCACAUGACUUCACAUGUCAUUAAGAACUGUGGAAACGUCGAUUGAGGAGCAUUUCAUCCAGCGGUGUUGAGCGUGAGAUUGAUGGACAGGUGAUGUUCUCCAGCGCUCAUCUCCAGGAGUGUUUGACUGAACUGGCUUUUCUGCAAUGAAUCAUGAGCGGAGUGUCUUCAAGCGAUAUUCCCAGUUUUAUGAGUCAAUCCUUCAACAGCAGGAACAACUUCUUUACCAGAGAGAGCAGGUUUGUCUACACCAUUCAUGUUUUUUUGUCUCUUUUGCUUGUUUGUGUGUAUUACUCCAUGUUUCUUGACUACAUGUUCAGUAAACACGUCUGAUUUCCGGUGGCGGAUGUGUGUCGUGGCUC